GAAUCUAUAACCCAACUAGAAGUAGAAGAAAUCGUUAGAUUAGUUUCAAUUACGAGCAAGUCUAUACCUUCUGAAGGUGUGUCUCCCUUCUUGUUCUUCAAGCUCCCAAAAUAUGAAGGACAGUUUCUUUUCCAGUGGCCAUCGACAUUGCAGUGGAAACAUUUUCCUUUGUCAUUAGCCUUUUUCUUUUGAACUUCCUUCUUUGGCUUCUUGUCUUUCUUCUACUUCUUUGCAGGCUUCUUUUUCUUCCAAGUAGACUUUUUCUUGGAACCAGAA
rnacentral:lncRNA from 1 species